CAAGAUCCAUUAAGCCCAAAAUAGAUUUAGGACUUAAAUGCAAGUACUUUGAACCAUUAUACCAAAAGAAAAAAUAGAUAUUGUAUGAAACUUCGAGGGCCCUAGUGAUAACAAACACCAAAAUUUAAUUCCAUGUUUUUCUUUUACAGCGGUUACCGCUAACAUUAAAAGUUAAAACCAGCCCACAGUUUUCCAAUCAAAUGCAAGCCCAGCCGCAGCCUUUCAACAGCAGCAUCCGGUGACCAGCAUCAUUGGCCAACAGCCUGCGCCGCCAUGAGCCAAGCGUAGAACGCAGCAACCCGUGGAGCCAACCACGCCGUCCAUGCUGUCAAACGCACCAGCAAGCCAGCAACCGCGUCACCCACCACGUUUAAUCCGUGCUGCCAGCAAGUCCAACCGCACACUCUACCGGGGAAUCGCAGUCGCGUGCGGCUUGCUUGCAAGUGCAAACUGUCUCGUGCAGCCAACGCUUGUUUUCUUAUUUACUAUUUUUCUCCCCUCUUUAUUAUAUGUUCCAAUAUCGAACUCUUUAUUUUUUAAAGAAAGAAAGAGGAACCCAAAUUCCGGUUGCCAGAGCUGAAGCAACAGUUGAAGUUUAUAGAAGAAUCAAAGGUCCUCAAAUGCAAGCAAAUGAAAGGCAGAAGUCCAGAAAUGAGUUGAUAUGGAAUCUUGCUCCUGGAGAGUGGUUUAAAGUCAAUACAGAUGCUGCAAUUCAAGCCGGAGCAGAGAGUAGGGCUUGGGAUUAUAAUUAGAGACUCAAAAGGUAGUUUUGUCGCUGCUGCAAUGAAGAAAUCCAAAUUUUAUGACAAUAUAGCAUAUUCGGAAGCAGAAGCAACAAACUUGGGGAUUGAAGUAGCAGAAUCAGCAGCAAUCCACCCACUGAUAUUUGAAACUAAUUGUUUAGAGGUAGUAAAUCAAAUAUCCAGAAAGAGGAGGAACAAAUCAGAGCUUCCAUGGAUCCUGUCAGAAGUUUAAAACUAGACGAAGAGAUUAAAGGAGACUAAAGUGCAGUUUACACCUCGAAAGUGUAAUAACAUUGCCCAUGAAUUACCCAAGGUGGAUUUGAAUAUCAAUGACCCUGUUAAGUGGUUGGGUACAUCUCAUCUUUUGUAUCUUGUUUCUUAAUUAAUGAAAGUUCGCUUUCUUCUCAAAAAAAAGAAAAAAGAAAAAAGAAAAAAAGAAAUCAAUCGCUUUUUAUAAAAUCAAUUGCAAGAAAAUUAUUGAAAUCAGUUUGUCCAAACCGGCUUAGAUGAGUUUUUAAACAGAGAUAAAACAAGAAAUGAUUAAAGCAUAAAAUAACCAUAGAAGAGAGCAGAUUACAUGAUAUAAUUGAAAAUAAAUAACGACAUAAAGAUUAGUAUGGCACCACCGUUUUCAUCACAACCGUGCAUAAAAUUAAACUGGGCGUGUACCACAAAUCAAGACUGAUCUCAUAUCAGUUGUUGGACAUCAGAUCCAGAAAAAUAAUUUUUCUAUUUUACAAAAUCAGCGAAUGUGAAGAUAUUUUUCUUAUAUAUGUACAGAGUUAGAGAAAUACCUUCAACCUCAAAUGAAAAACCAUAAAAGAGAAUUAUAAAAUUUUUUACUAUUGUUAACAGUCUCCCUCACAUGAGUGAGCAUGUAAAGAACCCUAGUCCCUCUCACUCAAGUGGGCGCGUAAAAAAAAAUUAUGUAAUUUUCUUUUUCAAUUAUUUGAGUCAAA
rnacentral:lncRNA from 1 species